CCUACGGGAGGCAGCAGUGGGGAAUCUUGCGCAAUGGGGGCAACCCUGACGCAGCCAUGCCGCGUGAAUGAUGAAGGCCUUAGGGUUGUAAAGUUCUUUUGCCCGUGACGAUGAUGACGGUAACGGGAGAAUAAGCUCCGGCUAACUUCGUGCCAGCAGCCGCGGUAAUACGAAGGGGGGCUAGCGUUGUUCGGAAUUACUGGGCGUAAAGCGCGCGCAGGCGGUUCGAUAAGUUAGGGGUGAAAUCCCUGGGCUCAACCCAGGAAUGGCCUUUAAGACUGUCGAGCUAGAGGACGAGAGAGGUGAGUGGAAUUCCCAGUGUAGAGGUGAAAUUCGUAGAUAUUGGGAAGAACACCGGUGGCGAAGGCGGCUCACUGGCUCGUUUCUGACGCUGAGGCGCGAAAGCGUGGGGAGCAAACAGGAUUAGAUACCCUGGUAGUCCACGCCCUAAACGAUGAGUGCCAGGUGUCGGGAAGCUUAGCUUCUCGGCGCCGCAGCUAACGCCUUAAGCACUCCGCCUGGGGAGUACGGCCGCAAGGUUAAAACUCAAAGGAAUUGACGG
rnacentral:rRNA from 1 species